GUCUAUUUCUACAUCUCUGUGUAUAUAUAUAUAUAUAUUUUAAAACAAAGCUAUGAGUUUACUCCUUUAUCUCCAGUUCCAAUCUAACACUUCAGGUUUCUCUCUAGACUUCCUCUCUCCAUAUUUAUAAAUCUCUUCUCCAAUUAUGCUCAAUAUUGACUCUGAUAUUUUAACAAACUUGAGAGCAAGGAUCUUUUCUUGCAUUCGCAUUCACCAGAGAGCUGCCAAUGUGUUGAAAAUUCAGGGACUAGAUAAAUCAGUGCUGUUCUUUGGUGCCUGGGCCAGGGGCAACCUUGGCUUUAGCAACAAAACUACAGACUGGAGAAUUUUCAAGAAAUCUGGAGGCUAGUUGUGUGCCUCACUUUCUGCAUGUGACAAGAGAUCUCUUUAACUGACAUUACAGGCUUCUUAAAAUGAGGAAUGAAAAAAAAUAUUCUCAAAGUCUCUCUGAGACUCUCCAGAGACAGGUGCUAUAUAAAUUGAAAGUGUAAUCAUUGUUGCUGUGUGGAAAAAAUGUUCUCCAUCCGUCUUGUUCUACAAUAGAUGGAGAAUGUUUUCCAGGAUCACUGCUCUUCUCAGGCUUCUAAACAGGUAAAACAGCUAAAUAUUGCAUUAGAUGCGAUGGCAUCAGUCAAAAUGAAUUAUAAACAACACUCAACUCUCAUUUUUAAAAUUUAUUUUACUUAAAAAAAAUGCAGCACAACAUAGGGAAUACACAUGAACCUGUCUUGUUACUUCAAGUAGGGAAUGCUUUCAACUCAGGUCAGAUGGGGCAUGCUCUCUGGGGUGAAGCAAUAGACAAUAAGCCAGAAGUGUCGAGGUGGCCUCAACCAAAAAUAACUCUGUCUUUUCUUCAGUUUGCAGCAUCACAGAAAAUGAUGCUCUCUCCUGCCAAGUCCCAUCUUUUGGAAGGAAGAAAUUGAUUAGGUCCUGGAGGUUUUCAUAAAUGCAUCAAAUGACUUUCUUAGCAUCAUCUGAAACAAAAAAUGGGCCAAUUCACAGCUGCAAUCGUUGGGAGAAUUUCCUGUCUGGGAGUCUGGAAACUGCCAAGAGUGGAAAGCUGCAGCCAGCCAGCAAGGGCUCUGUUGUCACUGGCCCAAACAACAACAAAAACAACCGCAACAACAACAACAACAACAAAACAUGCCACGUGUGCACUGGCAUAUACAAACACGCCCACAGAACCAAACCAAGCGGACAAGGCUUCAAGGAGAGCUUCUGGGCGGCUCAUUCCCGUGGUGAGGCAUAUCCCUUGGCAUCGUGCCAUUGCAGUCCAGCUCCCAGCCCCCGCCCCCCCCCACCAUCUGUCAUCAGCGCUCUGCCUACUGUAAGUGUGCCGACACAGUACACGGAGGCUAACAAGUAG
rnacentral:lncRNA from 1 species